UGUUCUCUUACCUAAACAUCUUCGGGAAUGUUUAUUAAAUGAAUGUGUGCAACCACAGGGGAACACUGAGUUCUAAAAAUGUUGCAGUAUGCAAGAAUGAGUGGCCUGAAUCUGGAAUUUACAACGAUUUCCAAUCAUCAAUCAGAAACUGUCGCGUGAACAGGGCCUGAAUUGCACAAGCAUGUUUUUAUUUCCGCAUUGGACCGAGUCGCUGAGAGAUAGACGCUAUUAAAUGGAGAAAUGUCACUGCAGGAUUACAGUUGAAGUCUCACGUUAAGAAGGACAAUUUCAAGUUGUGAGCUCACAUCAGCUCAGAGUGAAGAGAUUCACCAACAGUCAGUUUAACUCUGAUAAAAAUCAAACAUGGUCCGAAGUGCCUGGGAA